rnacentral:rRNA from 1 species
UACGGAGGAUGCGAGCGUUAUCCGGAUUUAUUGGGUUUAAAGGGUGCGCAGGCGGAGGCACAAGUCAGCGGUAAAAUCGCGGGGCUCAACCCCGCUCCGCCGUCGAAACUGUGUCCCUUGAGUGCGCGAAGGGUAGGCGGAAUGCGUGGUGUAGCGGUGAAAUGCAUAGAUAUCACGCAGAACUCCGAUCGCGAAGGCAGCCUACCGGCGCGCGACUGACGCUCAUGCACGAAAGCGUGGGUAUCGAACAGG